GAUGAACGCUAGCGACAGGCUUAACACAUGCAAGUCGAGGGGCAGCGGGUAGAUGAGCUUGCUCAUUUAUGCCGGCGACCGGCGCACGGGUGAGUAACACGUAUGCAACCUGCCCGUCUCAGGGAGAUAAUCGUCGGAAACGGCGUCUAAUACCCCGUAUGAAGCUGGACGGCAUCGUUUGGGUUUGAAAGAAUAUCGGAGACGGAUGGGCAUGCGGCGCAUUAGCUAGUUGGCGGGGUAACGGCCCACCAAGGCGACGAUGCGUAGGGGUUCUGAGAGGAAGGUCCCCCACACUGGUACUGAGACACGGACCAG
rnacentral:rRNA from 1 species